ensembl:lncRNA
CUCAAAUCAUAAUUCGGCAUAAAACCUGAAUUUAGAAAAUCUGCCUAGCAAUUGUUGAGCAGUCCUGAACAGUAUUUGUGAUUGGUUAAAUAAUUCAAGCUCCGCCCCUGACAUGUACACAGAAUGGCAGUGAGAGAGUCCAGCGGGAGAUUGAGGCGAAGACAAUGAGCCAUUAACAAUUAAACUUCAUCAACUUGGCGAAAUUGUUGUUGUUACUGGUUAAAAGAGUCGAAAAGGACCAUAUGCAUCAGAAAGAGUUGCAGAAUAAUUAUUAUCUGCAUUUUUGUUGGUUUUUUGGUAAUGAAAAACAUUCAUUGAAUCUCGGCCAGGUUUUUGUUUUUUCCCUUGAACUCUCUCUUCUGGAUAGAAGAUGGCGAGCCACCCAGCUUGAAUUUGGUGAUCUUCAAUUGAUUUGUGCAGAGUGCUGUUGAAUCCAGCAUUUACUUCCUGUGAAUUUGAACAACUUAUCUGAGCUCAGCAACGUGAACUGAAUGGACAGAACUGGUGAUCCUUAAUUCAUCAAGUAAUACACAUACACUGAUAACGCACACACACACUUGUUGUCAUUGUAAUUUUAUUUUAUUGUUUAAAUAAUACACGUUUUAAAACAUGAAUUAAAUAAACAUUUUUAAAUAUGUCUAUUAAAUUGUCA